AACGAACGCUGGCGGCAUGCCUAACACAUGCAAGUCGAACGAUACCUUCGGGUCUUGUGGCGCACGGGUGCUUAACGCCUGGGAACUUGCGCUUAGGUUCGGAAUAACUCCCCGAAAGGGGUGCUAAUACCGGGUAAUGUCUUCGGACCAAAGAUUUAUUGUCUUUGGAUGGGUCCACGUUGGAUUCGCUAGUUUGUAUGGUAAAAGCCUACCAAGGCUACGAUCCAUAGCUGGUAUGAGAGGAUGACCAACCAUACUGGGAGUGACAGACGGCCCAGAUUCCUACGGAAGGCAGCAGUGGGGAAUAUUCGACACUGGGCGAAAGCCUGAUGCAUCAAUGUCGCGUGAGUGAGGAAGGCCUUAGGGUUGAAAAGCUCUUUUACCCGGGAUGAUAAUGACAGUACCGUACGAAUAAGCGCCGGCUAACUCCGUG
rnacentral:rRNA from 1 species